rnacentral:tRNA from 1 species
GUGGCUGUAGCUCAGUUGGUUAGAGCACCAGAUUGUGGUUCUGGGGGUCGUGGGUUCAAUUCCCAUCAGCCACC